rnacentral:rRNA from 1 species
UGAGGAAUUUUCCGCAAUGGGCGAAAGCCUGACGGAGCAAUACCGCGUGGAGGAGGAAGGCCCGUGGGUCGUAAACUCCUUUUCUCAGAGAAGAACACAAUGACGGUAUCUGAGGAAUAAGCAUCGGCUAACUCCGUG